UCCCAUAUGAUCUAGUGGUUAGGAUUUGGCGCUCUCACCGCCAAGGCACAGGUUCAAUUCUCGGUGUGGGAA
rnacentral:tRNA from 1 species